rnacentral:rRNA from 1 species
AGUGGACGAACCUCUGGUGUUCGGGUUGUGUCGCCAGACGCAUUGCCCGGUAGCUAAGUUCGGAAUCGAUAACCGCUGAAAGCAUCUAAGCGGGAAGCGAGCCUCAAGAUGAGUCAUCCCUAGAGCUUUAAGCUCUCUAAAGGGUUGUCGGAGACUACGACGUUGAUAGGCAGGGUGUGUAAGCGUUGUGAGGCGUUGAGCUAACCUGUACUAAUUGCCCGUGAGGCUUAACCAUACAACACCCAAGGGGUUU